rfam:Bombyx mori DNA, contig: Bm_scaf10_contig8780, strain: p50T/Dazao, build 2, whole genome shotgun sequence.
UUAACUCAAAUUUGUAUGCAGUUGGAACAGCGCCCCUAGCGGCAAACGUAAGCAACCGUUCCAACUCCAUACAUAUUUCGAGCUA